GACUCGGUGGCGAAGGGUUCGCGUCUGCCUCUGAUAGCGGAUUCCACGCGGAAGGCGCCCGUUCAAUUCGGGCCCGAGUCU